GGAGGGAUGGCAGAGCGGUCAAUUGCAGCAGACUGUAAAUCUGCCGAGUUUACUCUACGUUGGUUCGAAUCCAGCUCCCUCCACCA
rnacentral:tRNA from 1 species